CAAGGAUACCAUGGGAUUGCCU
rnacentral:siRNA from 1 species